AAAACUAUACUUCACAAGAUCAUUUCUGUAGUCAGUCUUCAUUUACUUUCUUUGCAAAUCGAAAGUUGACAGACCCGCGAUAAACUGUAGG